rnacentral:tRNA from 1 species
GGCUCGUUGGUCUAGGGGUAUAUGAUUCUCGCUUUGGUUGAGAGCGUCCCGGGUUCAAAUCCCAGACGAGCCC